rnacentral:lncRNA from 1 species
UCGCGCCUGUAACUGUAGGCUUUAUGAGCGAAACGAAAGAAAACAAAAGUUUUCUGUGUAUUUGCCGAGCGUGUACUCGGUUGAAUGUCCUGGGUGUGUACGGCUGGACCGUACAGGGCUAGAAUAAGUCGCAGGAGUGCGACGGAAAGAGCAAGUUCGCGAGUUCAUAGCGAGUUCAUACUGACAGGUUUCCGCUGCGGCUUCUGCCUAACCUACAGGCUUCAGAAGCAGAGUCGCUCGGUAACCAGGCUCGCCCCCUCCCACGGAAGCAAGCACUAACUUUCCUGCCUGCAGGUACCCCUCCGUCUGAACGACCCCUAAGCGGUAAGGCAACUACUCAAGAAAACAAAGAUUUGGCUGUAAUAAAGGCUUGGCAUUGUAAAAGCAACGUGUGCCCUGUAAUGGACACUUGGCGCUAGCCAACCGUGAGGCCGCCGCGGCCAUGCCAUGCGCAGGGGUUGGAAUCCACAGCAUCCACAUCGAACACGUACGGGCCAAGGAAGGGCAUCUGUACCCGGACAGGAAAACACAGCACAGCGAGGCGUGCAUGGGGUAUCAGGGGGUUUCACAGGGCGGUGUGCAGCCAUCACAAGCCUCUCUUCCUGCUGCUUUCCUGCCUUCCUGCAGCCUCCCUAUCCACAAUCACAUCGGNCCUCUACCUACUUACCUACCGGGGUACCUACCUCUACAUAUGCCAAUAACGACCGGCGUCAUGAUCAAGCGGCCGCCACACCCUAUUACCUAGGCCAUGUGCACAAAUCCGCUCGGUCCUCCUUUUGCUGUACGUACGGUGUCGUACGAGUAAUGUACGAUGCCUGAUUGAAGUCGUUCCCACGCGGCGCGGGGCGGUGACUGAUGGAAUGGUUACCACGAGCACGUCAGGUACUGCACACGUUGGACGAGCUUACAGCUGGGUUUACAAGCAUGCAGAUGGAUGGGCAUAGCACAGCACAGCGAUCAGCACAGCACAGCGAUCAGCACAGCACAGCUCAGCAGCGCACGGCACCCUCCAGCCCAGUUGUGCAUUUUUGGGCGGGGCCCCAGCGCGAAGCGCCCAGGGGGGCCCCGACCUGUAGGAUUGCCCAUGUCCGUGUGUGUGUGUGUGUGUGUGUGUGUGUGUGUGUGUGUGUGUGUGUGUGUGUGUAACGGACCAAACAUAAUAUCUCGCCUGGCUGAAACGCGUUAUAGGUACUAUACAGCAUUCUCUAUUGCAAGGUAUCUCCCAUGUAGCCAACAAAAAUCGUAUGAGCGCAAACAAGUUUGGCUGCCUCAAUUGACCGAGGCCAAAGUCACAUCAAUGCCUCUCGCGCUAAAUUUCAUCGCAAAAGGUACCGCGUAUCUCAUAUUUGAGUUCUUAGAUGACGGCGUAUGAUAACUCGAACUCCCAGGCCUUGAGUGUGUAACGGACCAAACAUAAUAUUUCACCCGGCUGAAACGCGUUAUCGGUACUAUACAGCAUUCUCUAUUGCAAGGUAUCUCGCAUGUAGCUAACAAAGACCGUAUGAGCACAAACAAGUUUAGCUGCCUCCAUUCACCGACCUCAAAAGUCACAUCAACGCCUCUCGCGCUAAAAUUCAUCCCGAAAGCUGCCGCGUAUCUCACAAUGGAAUUCUGAGAUGACGGCGUAUGAUAACUCGAACACCCAGCUUGUGUUACCAUUUGCCGGCAUGGGCUUGCCACCAGCAGGCCAACAUAAUUUGCUUUCAUUUCUCUAUGAAAUACACAAGCUGCUUGUUUGUACAUUUACUUUGGCCAAUGCACGGGGCCUCCUGAGACUUGCGGUGUGCCCCGAUGAAGCCCGCGGCUGUGGGGCGGAUUGCUGAGGCCGCUGGCGCUUCGGGGAUAAACAUCACAGACAGCACCGAAAUUCACCCAGCUUUCGUUACCAUUUGCCCGCACGGGCAUUCCGACUUGCGGUCUGCCGCACUGUCCAUGCGGCAUGCACCCGGAAUGCCGGGUGCGGCAUGCACCCGGAAUGCCGGGUCCAUUCCGGGUGCAUGCCCGGAAUGGAUGCGAUUCGCGUGGAGCCCGCAGGCGGUGCUGACGAUUCCGCCGGUGCAAGCUUAGCUCUCACACCAUCAGCACUGCUGCAACAAAGCACAUCUCACACCGCGUUGACACUACCCAUCAAUUGUCACACNNNNNNNNNNNNNNNNNNNNNNNNNNNNNNNNNNNNNNNNNNNNNNNNNNCAACCAUGCUGGCAAGUCGGAUGCGCAAGCGCACCAUUGACAAGCCCCCGAGAAAUAUUCAAGUUAAUCGCAGGUCCUCAAUGAGGACCAUAUUAGCGAUUAAGCUAAUAAGAACAGAUACUACACAUGAUCUGAGCCAAAAGGCCGAGAAAGGUAUGAAAACAACAGGGAUGGGCCACGGACGAGUGCACGGCAAAAUACUCCUUUGGCGCUCGAUGGUGGGGGGUGGUAUUUAGAAGCACAUUGCUCCCCCUGAAAGCACCUGCUUGCUGUUCCUGGUCCGCAAUGUCGGGGCCAAGCAGGAAAACACAGCACAGCGAGGCGUGCAUGGGGUAUCAGGGGGUUUCACAGGGCGGUGUGCAGCCAUCACAAGCCUCUCUUCCUGCUGCUUUCCUGCCUUCCUGCAGCCUCCCUAUCCACAAUCACAUCGGCCCUCUACCUACUUACCUACCGGGGUACCUACCUCUACA